ensembl:lncRNA
CUCUCAUCUUAUUUCCUCUAAUACAUUGUGAAAGAUGUUUCUCAAGGUGGACCAUCCCAGGAUCAGGAAAAUGAUCUCCCCCUGUCACCCAGAGACAGACAGAACCGGGCUACGGAGGUCCGAUCUCCCCCUGUCACCCAGAGACAGACAGAACCGGGCUACGGAGGUCCGAUCUCCCCCUGUCACCCAGAGACAGACAGAACCGGGCUACGGAGGUCCGAUCUCCCCCUGUCACCCAGAGACAGGCUGAUGCGGGUCGGUAUUGGCUCUCAUUGGUCUCUUUGUAUCUGAUAAAUGUCACCACUACCAGCGGGUUUGUACAUAAUGCAGGGAGCUGGG